AUGACUGCAACUUCAUUGAAUGGACAGGGAUGGAGAUGGGUCCUGAAGGGAACACUUUAGUUUAAACAGCUCUAGGCUAAUGGCAAGCAUAGCACCUUCAGUUCAGUUGGGAAAAUAAACAAGAUAGGAAGUUAAAGUAAAGACCUGUCACGCCUGAGGCUGAUUGUUAGAAGUGGAAAUCGAGGGACACAGUUAACUGGGGAGUGUCAAUAAAUCCAAAUGUGACAUGUACCCUGCUGCUUCUUGUGGAACUAGUUUAAACAACACGGUAUCACAAAAUACCUAAGAUAUAGACUGGAUGGAACUAUUUGAGAUUUCCAUAAACUGAUGUGAUCUUG